rnacentral:rRNA from 1 species
UGGGGAAUCUUGGACAAUGGGCGCAAGCCUGAUCCAGCCUACGCCGCGUGAAGGAUGAAGUAUUUCGGUAUGUAAACUUCGAAAGAAUAGGAAGAAUAAAUGACGGUACUAUUUAUAAGGUCCGGCUAACUACGUGCCAGCAGCCGCGGUAAUACGUAGGGACCAAGCGUUGUUCGGAUUUACUGGGCGUAAAGGGCGCGUAGGCGGCAAUUCAAGUCAUCUGUGAAAUCUCCGGGCUUAACUCGGAACGGUCAGAUGAUACUGCUUUGCUAGAGUGCAGAAGGGGCAAUCGGAAUUCUUGGUGUAGCGGUGAAAUGCGUAGAUAUCAAGAGGAACACCUGAGGUGAAGACGGGUUGCUGGGCUGACACUGACGCUGAGGCGCGAAAGCCAGGGGAGCAAACGGGAUUAGAUACC